GGAGUUCCGGGUCGUGACACCUUUCAACUGAUUAAUUCUCCUUUUAACUGAUUGAAGUUUUUCUCUAUUCAUCCUUAACUGAUUAAAAUGGGCUUCAACCAAUUGAGAAUUUUUCAACUUUAAAUCUUUUGGUUUGGUGUCUUGGACGGUCAAUAAUAUUUUGAAUGUGAAUUUUGGCGCUUCUUGAUACUUUAACUUUGACCUUUAACUAGUUAACUUCUUUCCUUUAAUUAAUUAAAAAGCUUCUGUUUUGCAUCCAAUACCCACUUAACUAAUUAAACAUUGUGUUAACCAGUUAAGACCUUUUUGUCUAUCUUUAGUGUAGCGCCUAGAAUUGCUUUAAUUGAUUGAGGAUUGUGUCAAUCAGUUAAGACUAAUCUAUUUUCAUUAAAGCCCUCUUUUAUUUGCUUGUUUAACUAAUUAACCCAUUUUGCAACUGAACCAGCAUCUUAACUUGCUUUCAAAUACCAAAUUCAUUAAUAAAUUUAAGCUUUCUCCUGCACACAUAAAUAAUAUAAUCAAACAUAAAUGACUGAAAAUGUUUUAUUAUGAUCAAAAACAUAUGAAGUCAACAUUAUCUUUCUCUUAUUUUUGAUAGUUACGAAACACUCCUAGAUUAAGAGUGCAAUGUUUAUGUUCAAUAUGAAUGCUUCAAAUCUUUGUGCAUAAUCAAGAUUGCUCCCCCUUAGUUAAUGCAUCUUUUUUUUUUAAAAGAUUUGCAAUAAAAUAUUUAUGAUAUCCUCAGCAACUAAACAAGAUAUACAAUAUCCACAGUAGCUAAGCAAAAUAUUUUGAAUAUCCAUAAUAGCUAGCACAUAAUAUUCAACAAAAUUAUAAUUAAGCAUCACACACAUAAAUUAAACAUACAGACCUAUCAAACUAUAUUUAACGUAGUCUUCCUUCUUUCUUUUUUUGUCAUCAUUAAAAAGGAUAUUCAAAACUUCCCCUUAAUGAGUGCAUCUAGAUUUUCCUUUAAUCUUUAAAUCAAACUUUAAUGAAUGGGAAUCUUAAGCAUUCAUAUACCUAAGUCACACAAGCUUAUAGAUAUAGUUCAAUUACUUCAAGAAUCAAGCUUGUAACUAUAUAAAAACAAAUGUACGUGAGUUAAAUCAUUUCAAGAACCUGUCAAGUAUCACUCAAAUAAUGUUCAAGCAAAUAUGAUCAUUUUAUCAUAAUCAAAACUAUAUUAAUUUUAAAGCUAAAAAAGGAUGAUUUUGUCAAUGACAAUAAAAAAAACAAGGCUUCCUCCCGUACUCCAAGAUGAAACUUUUUUCAUGUUCCAUGCAAUAUGGACACGAUAAAUGUCCAAAACUGCUCCACCUGGACAACACACCAUAUGCAGGAAUGUCAUUAAUAGUCCAUAUGAGUGUUAUCCGUAGAAUAAAAUUUUUGGGAUUAAACGCAUUAUACAAUACCACCCAUUUGUCCCACAGAACUUUUAACUUAUUUAUCAAUGGUCAGAGGAACACAUCAAUGUUUUGUCCUAAAUUUGUCCUUCCCGGGAUGACCAUACUACGAAAGAUGUAUGAUUACUUCAUGCACAUCCACAGAGGUAAGUUAUCAAUAAUGAGCAUUACCAACCAAACAAAAUACGGGUUCGCUCUUGGCCCAAAUGGAUUGAAACCACCUGAACAUAAAUUGAGUGUGACACUAUGAAACUCUAAGGCAAAAGAUUGAUGGCUCCAAUUAAAAUGUUGCCAAGCCUCACCAUCACAAGAUGCCUAAGCACUCCACCAUUAGAUUGGUGUGUGGCAUGUCGUGUCAUGUGUUCAACAAUUUUGUUUGACAUAUAUUGCCUUUGCAAUCUCAAUGUCAAUGGAAAGUAUAGCAAAAUCUUAAAAGGAAUUUUUUUCUCCUUUCCUCACCUUGAAUUAUUUAGUUUAUAAUGGGAAUGACCACAACAUGGACAAUAAGACAACUCAAAAUAUUCAUUAUAAAACAAAAUGCAAUUAUUCUUACAUACACGAAUUUUCUUAUAGCUAAGCCCAAGUUCUUUCAAGUGUAUCUUCAUUUUAUAAAAGUUUUCCAAUAAUGAUUCAUCCGAUGGCAACAUUUCAUUCACUAGAUGUAUUAGACGAUUAAAGCAUGCUUCAUUCAUGUUAAACUUUGACUUUACAUUUGGUAAUUGGGACAUAGCUAACAGUUUUGUGUGCUUAUCGCAUCCGACCACAAAGCUACACCGGCAUCAUUUAACAACAAAAAGAAGGAUGCAGUGUUCGAAUUUGGAUCUUCAAGAAAGACUAAUUCAUCUCGGGUCUCAUCAUUGAAUUGAAACUCCAGUCGUAAAGCAUCCAUAACCAUUUUAGCAAAUAGAUUUUUUAUUUUAACUUCACUAACUAUGUAACACUCGACCCUAAAUUAUCUAUGAUAUAUCAUUCACUUGCUUUGGAUAGCAUGUUUGUCUAUUGAAUUGCCCCGAAAAACAAGUUAAAUGAUUGUAUUGCCCCUAAUGGUACGGUUUAGUUAAAUAAGUCUUGAACUAAUUUAAACAGAGAAUCGAGGAUGAAUUUGAGAAAACUAAAACCCAUGGAUUGAUUUAAAAUGAGGAUUCAGAGUUUGAGGUCCGAUUUGGAGUUAAUCCGGACUUUAAGUAUUCCAAAGACAAAAUGGUAAUUUGCCACUUGAGGAUGAAUAUGAAAUUUUCAAAAAAAAAAAUUUUUUUUUAAUCCCAUUUGAUUAAGAUUGAUUAUAUUAGACUUAUUGGAGUAUAAUUUGAGGGUUUGGCAGUGAAAAAGUUUAAUUUCGGUGAUUUCUAGAGUGUAGGGGCAAAAUUAUAAUUUUGCCACCCAUGGACAAAAUUUGAGAUUUUGAGAGAAUUUAGAUCAAAUUUGACAAAUUGGAGAAUGGCAUGAGUAUAAGGGAUGGAAAAAUAUGUCUAUGGGCAAUUUUUCAGUUUUUGAGGUAAAAAUGUAAUUUUUGACUUUUACGGGAGUAAAAGUGUAAAUUUUAAAAAUUACUCCACCAAGACUUUGGAUAAGUCUGAGAAUUUUAUCUAAGCUAUGGAUAUGUGGGACAAGUGUAUGGUGAAAAUUUGGAAACAAAUGGAUGGCUAGAAUUUAAGGAAUUAAUAAAACAUAAAAAAAAUGAAUAAAAUAAUAUUAUAUUAUUUUAGCCUUUAAAAAUGUCAAAAUUUCCAAAAUUCUCAUCUUCUUCAAGCCAUCCAAACCAGGAGAGAAAGAGGGAAAAGAAAUAAGAACCCUAGCUGAAACAUUUGGGGAAAAUCAAGAGAAAUCAAGAAAUCAAGCAUUAAAAAGGUAAAUUUCAUUGAUUUUCCUUGUGAUUUUCACUACCCAUGCAUUUUUUCUCAUUUCCAUGCAAAAUUAGAAAGUGGGUAUGGACACCCAUGCUGGCCAAACCUCCAUGGAUGAGUUUUGAGUUUGAGUUUUGGUUGAUUUUAAUUGAAUUAAGUGAUUUUUGUUAGGUUAUAUUGAAAUAUAGCAAAAAUAAGCUAGAGAAAUAAUUUUCUCCCAUUGAAACCCAUUAUGCCGAAUUUUCUAGGGGAAUAUUGGCUGCUGAUCUUGAUGUUUAUUUGAGGAAUUAUGAUGAAUAAUGAUGAAUUAUGAGCCUAGAAAACUAAUGGGAAUUUUUAGAGCAAAAAUAUAAAUUUUUACCCACUAGGGGUAUUUUUAUAAUUUGCUAUCGGGACUGAUAAUUUGCACCACACUGAGGGACAUUAAGUCAAUUUGGGUGUAAUUGAGGUAUAAAAACUGAAAAAAAUUAAUUUGGAGUUUAAACAGACGCGUAUAUCGAUUUAUCAGGUAAAAGAUCGAAAUAGGCUAACACCGUGUUUAGGCAAAAUUUAGACAUUUUGCUCUUCAUAUCAUGCAUUAGUAGUAUAAAUUAGUUUAUUUUGGUUUAGUACCAAAGUAGUAAACCUCUUAAUUGUGCAAUUUGUCAAGGUGGCGAAUCCUCUAGCAAGGGCAAAGAAAUCGCACCCGAUGAGUAAUAGUUGGAGUACCCGAAUUUAGUUUUCAAAAACUGUGAGUAAACUUAUUAUCGUCUUAAUUAUCUAGAGUAGUUUUAUACAAUUGUGUGAUUUUAUAGAAAAUGGGUUUAAAUGGUAUAUUACUGUGUUUUAGGAGAAAUUGUGAUUUUAUAAAAUGAUUUUAUAGAUUUUCUGGAAAAUUGAAUACUAGUUUUGAAAAUAGAAUGAUUGAAAACUACCCGCUUGUGUUAUAAAUUGUGUUUUAAAUUAUAUGGCUUAUAGCAAUAUGUGAGCAUGAAUGGCAAAGUCUGUAUUUGUAUCAAAAUUAUAUAUACUAUGUAUUCAGCCUUGAGAGGCUAGAUUUCGAUAAAUUGUCAUGUCAUUCAUAUAAGGAUUUUAUAAAUCAAGUGGUAGAUAAAAUAAAGAUUAGCUACUGCAGUGGCGGGGUUCCGUGGACCAGCCUAUUAGAGGGGCAUGAUAAACUCCUUUAUAUUCUCACCUCGAUCGUAAAGGCGCGUAGGGUAUCUCCUGAGAUGGGCUUUUUGAGUGCACUUCACGUGGACCACCACGUGAGAGUGAGACUCAGCCAACACCAAGGCAUGGCUAGAAUUUUUGAUGUAAAGACAUUUAACAGCCUUGGUGGACUCGGUCAGAUGCCUAGGUCAAGGCAUCCCCGGGAAUGAUUUUGGCAGGAGCCAAGUUUUGUGAGAUAUAUAAGCCAUGUUGAUUAAUUGAGUAAACUGAAUAUUCAUGUUAUGAAACAUAUAUUGGAAAAGAAUAUUUUAAUUUGUUUCCAUUUACUCACCUUUAGAUGGUUUAGAUGGUAUCUGUUUACUCACUGGGAUUAUGUAAUCAUAAUCUCACCCCUUUUCCUAUCCAUUUUGCAGGCUCAGGAUAGUUUGUUGAUAGUUGAUUAAGACGAGAAUUAAUCUUGGAGUUGCAUCGUAGAAAGUAAGAGUUCGUAGCCCUACACCUUCUUAGUCAGUUAGGAGCCCACGUGUUAUUGUAAAAGAAAUUUUAUACUUCAGUUAUCUGCUUUAAAGUACAUAUGAAUAUAUUUAGCUUUUACACUACAGAAAUAAAUUACGAAUUUCUCUAUAAAUAUUAUUAUAUUUUUAUUUAGAAAAUAGAAUAUUUUAUUAAAUAUUAUUAUUUUAUUCAAACAAUUAUAAUUUCAUUUCAAAUAAUUAUUUUAGACAUCUAAAUUUACUUUUAAUUAUGAAAUAUGUGUUUUUCGCCCACACACUAUGUUUUUGGUGGGUUUUGGUAUUUUCGAAGAAAAAUGACGAAAAUGUCCCUGUGAGCCAGAAAAUAAUAUUUUAUUGUUUUGAUUUGAAAACGACUAUUGAUUUCUUGAAACGUGAGAUUUAAUAAUUGUCGCUCACCGGGGAGAUACAGAAGCUGAUACGAGAGCCUUGCGAGGUUUCGAUUGGCAUUCAGGGUGAAAAAUGUCUGUCGAGGUUUUGCGACGGUUGUCACGAGCUCAAUGGGAGUUUCGAGUUGUGACAAACUACUUCAUUCUAGUCACCAAUAAAAUGUCCCAAUGAUUGGGUGACAUGGAAUGAUUCACCAUAUGUACCCCAUAUUGUGUACACAUCAGUAAACCUUUUUCAAAAUAAGUAUUCUUGAACCUUCAACAACCAACAAUUUGCUAUUCAUACACUGAGAGCAAGAACAUCUAAUCUUAUUCUCAAUCACAUAUCUUGAUUGACUGAACGCAAAUGAAAUAAAUUCAUCUACGCCAUUCAGAAAUUAUGUCCCAAGAAAUCCACUCGAAUCGACUUGAGAAUACAUCCAACUCCUAUCUCGUUCCAUUUUAAGAUAAAAUAUUAUAACGGACAUAUUAUAUUGUCUAUUAGUAGAUGUUAACACAAACAACAAUUGAAAACAAAAACCAACUUAAAUACUAGAAUUAAUGAAUUGCUUAAUUACUAAAACAUUUUUUUCAUAAUUAAUUUUAAAGUUUACUAAAUUUACUAAUACAUUUGGAAUAGAUUAAUUACUAAUACAUGAUUUUUCAUAAUUAGGUAAAUUAUGUAAUUAAUUCAGUAACCCCUUAAUUAAAAAACCCUAAAUAAAAUAUUAUAUAAUAUUACUAAAUUAAUUAAUUGCUUAAAUACUUAUAAUACAUUACAUACCUUAAUUGACUAAAUUAUUUCAUUAACUAAUUUAACACCUUCAUUUAUUCAAAUAUUUUUAAAAUUAAAUAAUAUUACUAAUUUAGUUAAUUGCUUAAUGAUUAAAAUUUUUUUCAUUUGAUUAGUUAAAUUAUAUAAUUAUAAACCCUAAACCUUAAUUAAUUUAAAUACUUUUAAUUUUUAUUAAAUUAACUAAUACAUUUAGAAUUGAUUAAUUACUAAUACAUGAUUCUUCAUAAUUAGGUAAAUUAUGUAAUUAAUUCACUAAACCCCUUAAUUAAAAAACCAUAAAUAAAAUAUUAUAUAAUAUUACUAAUUUAAUUAAUUUCUUAAAUACUUAUAACACAUUACAUACCUUAAUUAACUAAAUUAUUUAAUUAACUCAUUUAACACCUUCAUUUAUUUAUAUAUUUUUAAAAUUAAAUAAUAUUACUAAUUUAGUUAAUUUUCAUUUGAUUAGUUAAAUUAUAUAAUUAUAAACCUUAAACCUUAAUAAUUUAUAUACUUUUAAAUUUUACUAAAUUUAUUAAUAUAUUUGAAUUGAUUAAUUACUAAUACAUGAUCCUCAUAAUUAGGUAAAUUAUGUAAUUAAUUAACUAAACCCCUUAAUUAAAAAACCUAAAUAAAAUAUUAUAUAAUAUUACUAAUUUAAAUAAUUGCUUAAAAUCUUAUAACACAUUACAUACCUUAAUUAAUUAAAUUAUUUCAUUAACUCAUUUAACACCUUCAUUUAUUUAUAUUAGUUAAAGUUUUUAUUAAUUCCCUAAACACUUAAUUAAAUUUAAAUAAAUAAAAUAUUAUAUAAAUAUUAAUCAUUUAAUUUAUUGCUUAAUUACUUAUAAUACAUUACAUUACUUAAUUAACUUAAUUAUUUAAUUAACUCAUUAACACCUUAAUUAAUUUAAAUAUUUUUUAAUUUAAAUAAUAUUACUAAUUUAAACAUUUUUGCAUUUGCUUAAUUCAAUUUGAUUACUAAACAUUAAUUCCAUUAAUUUAGAUAUUCGCUUAUUUACUAAACUUUGCUUAAUUACUAGCUUACUAAAGUUCACUUAAUUAAUUACUAAAAAUUAGUUACUAAUUUUUAAUAAACAACUAAUUAAACCUAAACCAAAGUUUUUUCAAUUUGAUUUUCUCAACCAACACCUAAACACCUAAACUCUGCUAGCAGCUAAAUACCUAAAUGCCAACAGCCAAAAGCCAAAUCAAGCAAAUUUUGCUUGAAACCGCUACACACAGCAACAAAUUCAAACACAUACACAACAAAUCAAACAUAAUGCCAACAACAAAUCAUAAUUCUAACAAGAAUAAUGCUUAAAAUUUCAGCUUUAAAUUCAAGCAACAAAUGAUAAUCUAGCAACAUUCACAAUUUAACAUGUUCAAAACCCUAAACUUUAAAACAAAAAAACCUUAAACCUAAACAGAAGAAAGCUAACCUUAGGUUUAGGGUAAACUCAACCGAAGAAGGAAAUGGAGAAUGUAGGUCAGACAAAGCUUUAACAAAGGUCGAGGGUGGGCGGACAGGAGAUGGAGAAUGAAGGAAAUGAAAGGGACUUGAAUGAUUACGAUGGCAUGGUCAGACUGACGUACAGCUGGGUUAGUCGUUGAUAAGGGUGCGAUUAGGUCCGGUGGCACGAUCAGGCGAUAAAGUGUCAAGGAGAUAGAGAAGAAAAGGGAAAAGGGAAAAGGGAGAAAGGAGAAAUUGGGGGAAAAGGUCCACAACAAAGAUUUUAAUUUACCUUAUCAACGUUUUAAUUAAUUAUAAAAGUUUAUUUGAUUUAAAAGUAAAAAUAUAAAAAUUUAAUUAAAUGUAAUAACAAAUAAAAAAUUAUUUAAACUUUCUUGAAUAAUUCAGGAAGUUUUUAAAGCAUUAUGUCUUGUUCAUUCUAAGCUCUGAAGAAUAUUAGAUAUUAAUCUCAAAUGUUUCUAUGUAUAGAUUUAAUUUAAUUUAAAUCAUAUUUUUCUUACAUAUAUUAGUUAAUUGUUUUAUUUACCGGAUAUAUUAUUAUUGAUGUCAUAUACAUAAAGAAUUGUUUAACUGUACAUAUACAUGUAAUUUUACAAGAAGAAAAAUUCAUACUAAAAGUUUUUGCAUCACCUGUAAUCUUUUCGUUUUUUUCUGUUUACCAUUUUUCAGUCUUUGUUCAACGUGCCAAAAUCAUGUGUAGAUUUAUAAAUAGAAAUUUAUGAAAGGAGCGAAAAGUAAUUUUAAUUAUGUAAUUUAAAAUUUUCAUGUGCGCAAUAAAAUAAAUUAAUUAAAAAAGGAAGAUGGAAUGAGUAGUAUUCUAAAAACCACGCGAGAUAUUAGGAAAAGUGAGCCAGCAGGCUGGCUAUGCGUUGGGUACUCGGCGGUGUAAUUAAUAUAUUAUUUUCCCCACUUGAUUAGUUUUGUUGACUCUGACCUGCGGAAGUAUUAGGUAUACACGUCCUCACGAUAACUGCAGGUAGAGAAGACCAAGUUUUAUAUUAUUAUUAUUAUUAUUAUUCUGUUAAGGUUUUCAGUACAUUCCUAACUUGCUUUAUUAUUAUUCUUAUUCUUAUUACAAUGGCAGUAAACUUUUCAACAAAGUAAGAUAAGCAAGAAUAUUAUUAUUAUUGGAGCAUCUUUGUAAUGUCAGCAAACUUUCUUCAAUAUUUCCAAUUCAACUCUUCUGCUUUGCUUUUGGAUACAUAUCAUCACCUUUCGGCAACCAUGGUCAGGUAAAAGUAUAUUUUAAUUCCUGUGCUCGAUCCCCAAUCCAAAUUAAAUUAUCAUUCGCUUUCAUAAAAAAAAAACAAAUACAAACAUUUUUUAAAAUAUAUUUAAAAAUUAAAAAGUCCAAUUUAUGUUUUGGCAUGAAGCAUGAGUGUGAAAAUUCAACCAUUAAAUUAUAAUUGAUUGUAAAUAAAUUAUUUAAAUUAUCAACUUAUUCAUUUUUUAAUUAAUUUAAUCCUUUCAUUGUUGUCUUUAAAAAUAAAAGUCAAUGUUUUACAGUAAUUAUCUUUAUUUUAUUAUGGUUUAUAAUGUUGUUCAAUUUAAGAUUUUUUUUUCAUAAAUAACAUAUUUUAAGAAAAAGGGGAUUACCCUAGGAAGGGAGUGCACGAUUCCAGUUUAUAAAGAAGAACAAGAUAAAUUAUAGGUUUAGUUUUAAUUUUACCCCCUUUUACUCACCUCCAAAACUAAUUGGCUAUAAAAUUCAAACCAAAAAGUCAAAUCUUUAUGUAUGUAAAUGGCUCAUAUAGGAAAUCUUAAAUUUUAUGAUAAGUAGGACAAUAUAGGGGUGAGUAAAAUCAAUCAAGAUCAAUUAUCUAUCCAAACCAAAUGCGAUUUGGGUAAAAUGGUUUGGUCUAAUUGGUUCAUUAAAUUAAUUGGUUCAAAAUGUUUGGUCCAAUUGAUUUUUGAUCGGUUCUCAAUUUAAAAUUUUUAGACUAAUCUACCCGAAAAACCAAACUAAUUUUUUAUAUAUUUAAAUAUAUAUAUUAAUAUAUAAAAUAUUUUUUAUAUAUAUUAAGAAGAAUUGAGAGUAAGAUUAAUUAAAAAUAUACUUAAAAUAUAUUACGGUAUUAUACAUACAUCUACAAAUUAUAAUCAUAGUAAUUUAAUAUUAGUUAUAUAUAUUUAUUUACUUAUAAAUCUGUAUUAAUAUGAAAUUGUAAAUUCUAUAUUUUAAAUAAUAUAAGUUAUAUGUUAAUAUUAUAAUAUAUAAUAGUAAAUAUCUUACAUAUUAAUAUAUUAUAAUUAUUACAUCUUAGUAAAAUUUCAUAAUAAAAUGUUAUGAAUAUAUAUAAUUAUAUAAAUAUAUUAUAUAUACAUAUAUUUAAUUUAUAGAUAAGCAUUACUAUAAUUUAUAAUAGACUUUAUUUAUAUGAUUACACUUAAUAACUUUAUUAGUUAUCACAUUAGAUUUUAUAACAUAUUGUUUAUAAUUAGUUAUUAUUUAUACAAACUUUGAUAUAAAACAUUUUAACAUAUAAUUUGUAUCAUUAAUUAUAUAUAAUAAAGUAAUAUAUUAUAUAUAUACAUAUAUUUAAUUUAUACAUAAGCAUUACUAUAACUUCUAAUAAAUUUUAUUUAUAUGAUUANAUAUAAUAUACAUAUAUUUAAUUUAUACAUAAGCAUUACUAUAACUUCUAAUAAAUUUUAUUUAUAUGAUUAGCUUAAUAAGUUUAUCAGCCAUCAUCUUAGAUUUUAUAACAUAUUGUUUAUAAUUAGUUAUUUUUUAUACAAACUUUGAUAUAAAACAUUUUAACAUAUAAGUUAUAUCAUUAAUUUCAUAUAUAUAUAUAACUAUGAAUGAAGUUUAUAAGUUUAAUAUUAUAAUUUGUAAAAAAAUGAUAAAAUUUUGGUUCAUUGGUCCAAAACCGGAUCAACCAAAUCAAUGCUAUAUUUGAUCGGUUUGGUUUUCCUUUAUAUUUGGUUGGUUUUGGUUGGUUUUUUUUUAAAUUCAUUGGUCCAUUUGGUCUUUAGGUAUGGUAGACCAAACCAUCCAAUUCACCCAUUUGCUCACCCCUAAGACUAUAAACACUAUAUAAAGAUAAGGUUAGGUCUCCUCUCAUGUUUAAAGAAAACAUUGAAAAUUUCAACUAUUGGAGAGUUGUCGAUUAAGGAGGAAGAAGAUCCUAGUGCAAUGAAACUUGAUAAUUAACCUAGUUAGUUUUGUUAUAAUAAUGUAUGUUUUUGGAUUUUAAAUUUCUAUUAUGGUAAAUCCUGGGUUAAGUAGAAAUUAAUUAUACAUAAAGUUUAACAAUUAGUAUAAAAGAGAUCAUAGUUUGGAUUUAGAAUCCUAUAAAACUAUAAUUAACUGUUGAUGUAUGUUACUUACAUAAAUUAGUUAUGAAUGCAUAUAUAUUUGGCCGUGCGUGAUUUUUAAAUUUGUGUAAUUACACCUUUAAAAAUUCAUAAUUUCCUUAUAAAUGGUGCAAUUAAAUCUAGAGCACACUUAAUUAUAUUAUUAAUCAUAUGAUUAUUUUGUAGAAUUAUAUUUGUGUAAUUGAAUGAAAUCAUGUUUAAGAAAUUAGUUUUUUCGAAGGCUAUAGAUUUUAAUACUUUUAAGUCUAGAACAUUUCGAUUUUAUGUAAAUUUUUUUGGAAAGGCAUUUCAUAUAGAUUUUUUAAAAAUACUUUGGAGUUAUUUGUUUCUUAAUGAGUUAAGAUUGUUGUUGAAGUCAUAAAGCUUAAUUAAACCCAUCGAUUCAUAAAAUCGAGCAUUGUUGUUUUUUGUAUAUGAUAUCUGCCACUAUGGGUCUUCGGCUUUGGCUUUGAUUUGUUUAAAUUUGUUGAAAUUGAUGGGUGCUAAUUCAAAUUAACAUAAGGAAAUAAGGUCAAAGAUGUUUGCUUCAAUUUUACGGAGAAAAAUGGCUUAAAGAGAAGGAAAUAUAACACAAAAUUGAGCCUUAAUGAAGAAGUUCAAGUUCCUAAAAGAAUGACUAUUCCAUACUAAAAAAGAAACUAGAUAAAAGAAGAACUAUUAGGUAAGAAUAGAACAUUCCCCUCAACCGAAUGAGCCAUACAUGUUUAACAUGUCCUUUAGAAUCAUAUCUUUAUGAUACACCGAAAUUGAGAUUCAUAUUCGUGAGAAUAUUGAGACUUAAUAAUUUCUAUACCUUUAUAGACAGACACUGUGGUACAUAAACAAAUUGCAGAACCUAAACAAGUUUAACUAAUUCUUGAUGAGGUCCCUCAACAUUAAAAUAUGAUAAAAGAGAUGCCACAAAGAAAAUCCACAAAGGUCACAUGAACACUAUUUUGUCUAAGCAUGAUUUAAUUAGGUGAAAGUAAAUGUUAAGAGGCUUGAUUGCUAGCAAUUAAAAAAAAGAGUUUAAUUCAUAAAUUUAAUUAAGUACAUGGUUUCUUUUUUUGGAUAUAUUGGCCAUCAUUAAUGUGGUUAUACCUGUUUUACAAACUUUAGAAUUAAAUCCCCUCUUUAUAAGUCAUCAAAGGUCGUCAAAACAAAGUUCCAAAGCCAACCAUCAUUGACUAAAUAUCCAAAAAGGAAUUAUGGUCGGUGGAAUGGUGUCUGCUAUCACUAUUUAUUGUUACUUUGCAUAUUUUUAUCAUGGGCUAAAAAUAAUUAUUGCUAAGUACUACAUCUACAUUUAUUAAUUUAAUUGUUGUCACUUUAAAAGUUUUGGCUUAAGAACUUUUCCGCAUUUAUUUUUAAAAAAUUUGAAAGGGUUAAUAGCUAGCACUUUUUUACUCUAUUUAUAUCAAGUGUUAAUUAAUUAUUAAUAGCAGAAUUUGUUACUUUUAAGUAAAAAAAUAAUUAGUGUUGGUGAUGUUUAUAUAUUUUUGUUAAAGGAAAUUGUGAGAAAUGACCUUCGUGAAAAGAUCACUUCAGAAAUAACCUUCAGUAUAAUAUUAACUAUUUUUAGACCAUUUUUGACAAGACUUGAUAAGAAUACUCUUUAAACCAUCUAAUCCAAGUUAAGUGGUCUCGGUUUCUUUCUCCUCUCCCGCCAUUCAUAUAAAAAUUUCAAAAUUAAAUCUUGAUUUAGCUAUCCUUCCGUCCAGUUCUCCAAGGCCAUCUAGGUAUAUAUCUCGCCGUCUAGCUCUCCAAUGCCAUCGAGGUCUAUAUUGCCAUCCAACUUUCUCAGGAUCCCAAAGUUGCAGAGAUGACAUCAAAGUAUUUGUUAUGGGUUUUUGGGUUUAUUUAGGGUUAUUCAUAGAACGUCAAAGUUGAUGGGUAAAUUAUAUGAGUUUGAAAACUUAAAUCUGGCUGGGAGUAGCGAAAUCAAUCAAUUUAUAGGCGAUGCGUGAAUAUUUGUUAGGCAUUGCGUCACUGGAUAUUAGGGUGCGUGACUAGAUAUUAGGAAUGGUAACUUGUUUAUUUGGCAUUACGUGACUGAAUAUUUGUUGAGCAUUGCGUGACUUGUUUGUAGGCAUUGCGUGACUUUAUCUACCUAAUGCUUAAGGUAAUUUUUCAAAAAUUUUAUUUUUUUAAAAAAUGCUACUUUUUAUCAAGAAUUUUUCGAAAAAUGAUGUUUGGCCUGCCUUUUGCUUUUAAGAGGUAAAUAAGUUGAACAAAAGUCAAGCCGAACAGGUACUUAAUGUCAAACCCUAUUCUAUAAAAUAAUUACAACGUCAUUUACAUGCUCAAUAGAAUGUUUGCAUAUUUAGGAAGUUUGAAGAAUUGUUAAAAGACGAUAUUGCCCUUAAUGGAACCAUUAAGUCGAUUAAGCCUCGAACUAAUUCAAAUAGGAAUUUUAAGGUGAAAUUAAGAGUUUCACAGUUCAGGGAUGACUCAAAAUGGUAAUUCGGAGUUCGAGGAUCAAUUUGGAGUCAAACUGAAAUUUUCACUAUCUAGGGGCAAAAUGGUCAUUUGCCACUUGGGGACAAAAUGGAAAUUUUUAGAAAAGAUUUUUUUUGGCCCCAUUUGACUUAUUGGAGUAUUAUUUGAGUAUUGGAGUAUGAUUUGAAGUUUAGAAGUGAAAAAUUUUAAUUUCGGUAUAAUUUGGAGUAUAGGGGAGAAAUGGUAAUUUUACCACCCAAGGGGCAAAUCGGUAAAUUUUCACCCCCGACACUUGUCAAGACCAAGGGAUUUUAUUCAUCAUGGAAAUGGAUAAACAUGAGAAAAGUGUGGUGGAGAAUUAAUGAAUUAAAAGUCAAAUAUUUAAAAUUUCAACCAAUAAGGAAAUGCCAUGUGUCAUGUUUUUAUUAUUUUAUUAUUUCUUUAUAAAAAGGUAAAAAAUCAGCCCAUUUCUCCCAUAGUGAUCAGCCAAACCAGAAGAGAAGAGAAACCAAGGAAGAACAAACCCUAGGUGGGAAAAAUCAAAGAGAAAGUGUUGGAAUUCAAGGAUUUGAUCAAGCAAAGGUAAAAUUUCUUUGAUUUUACUAAUGAUUUACCUUACCCAUGCAUUUUCCCUUAAUUUCCAUGGUUAAAUUACAUGUUUUCAUGAUGAAUUCAUGGCUGGUUGGAAUGGGUAUGGAGAGAGAAUGAUGUUAGAUUGAUUUGAUUCUAAGUUAUGUUAGUGUUUUUAGUUAGUUAAACAUGUUUANNNNNNNNNNNNNNNNNNNNNNNNNNNNNNNNNNNNNNNNNNNNNNNNNNNNNNNNNNNNNNNNNNNNNNNNNNNNNNNNNNNNNNNNNNNNNNNNNNNNNNNNNNNNNNNNNNNNNNNNNNNNNNNNNNNNNNNNNNNNNNNNNNNNNNNNNNNNNNNNNNNNNNNNNNNNNNNNNNNNNNNNNNNNNNNNNNNNNNNNNNNNNNNNNNNNNNNNNNNNNNNNNNNNNNNNNNNNNNNNNNNNNNNNNNNNNNNNNNNNNNNNNNNNNNNNNNNNNNNNNNNNNNNNNNNNNNNNNNNNNNNNNNNNNNNNNNNNNNNNNNNNNNNNNNNNNNNNNNNNNNNNNNNNNNNNNNNNNNNNNNNNNNNNNNNNNNNNNNNNNNNNNNNNNNNNNNNNNNNNNNNNNNNNNNNNNNNNNNNNNNNNNNNNNNNNNNNNNNNNNNNNNNNNNNNNNNNNNNNNNNNNNNNNNNNNNNNNNNNNNNNNNACCUGUGAGUAAACCUAUUAUCGUCUGAAUUAUCUAGAGUAGUUUUUAUUCAAUUUUGUGAUUUGUGAAAAUUAUUUUAAAUGAUGAAUUUCUUGUUUUAUGAGAAAAAUAUGAAUUUAUAAAAUAAAUGGAAUUAUAAAAUAAAUUGAAUUUUUUAUAAAUUGAUUUGAAAAUAGAAUGUUGGAUUUGAAAAUUUGAGUAAUUAAAGACCAUGUGAUUUAUUGUAAAUUAUGAUUUGAAUUAAAUGGCUUGUGAUAAAUUGGCAUGAUUGGCUGAAUUUAUACUUGUGUUAAAAAAUAUGAACUGUCUGUUUUGCCUUGAUAAAUUGGUUAGUAAUGUAAUUGCCAUGCUAUGCCAUUGAGAUUUGAUCAAUUGGUGGAUUAAAGAUUAGCUACUGCAGUGGCGGGGUUCCGUAGACCAGGCUAUUAAAAGGGCACGGUAAACUCUUUUAUAUUCUCACCUCGGUCGUAGAGGUGCGUAGGGUAUCUCCUGAGGUGGACUUUUUGAGUGCACUUCACGUUAACCACCACGUGAAGUGAGACUCAGCCAACGUCAAGGAACGACUAUUUUUUUUUAAAUAAAAACAAGUUUUAUGAUUAUAUAAAAUUUUUCACAACCUUGACGGACUCGGUUGGAUACCCCUUGUCCAGGUGUCCCCGAGUACAGGAUUUGGCAUGAGCCAAGUUUUGAAAAAUUCACGAGCCAUAUUGAUUAUUUGGGUGAAAUGAAUAUUCGUGUUGUGAAAAAUUUGCUGAAAUGAAUUAUUUUUAAUUGUCUCCCUUUACUCGCCUUUAGAUAGUUUAGAUGGUGUCUGUUUACUCACUGGGAUUAUGUAAUCAUAAUCUCACCCCUCUUCCUAUCCAUUUUUCAAGCUCAGGACAGUUUGUUGAUAGUUGAUUAAGACGAGAAUUAAUCUCGGAGUUGCAUCCUAGAAAGUAAGAGUUCGUAGCCUUACACCUUUUUGGUCAGUUAGGGGCCCACGUGUCACUGUAAAAGUAAUUUUAUACUUCAGUUAUCUGAUUUAAAGUAUGUAUGAACAUAUUUAUCUUUUACACCAUGUUUUUGGCGGGUUUCAGUAUUUUCGAAGAAAAAUGACGAAAAUGCCCCUAUGAGCUAGAAAAUAAUAUUUUGUUGUUUUGAUUUGAAAAUUACUUAUGAUUUCUUGAAAUGCGAGAUUUAAUAACUGUCGCUCACUGGGGAGAUGCGAAAGCUGAUGCUAAGCCUUGCGGGAUUUCGAUCGGCAUUCGGGGUAAUGAGUGCCUAUCGAGACGUCGCGACGGUUGUCACGGGCUCGAUGGUAGUUUCGGGUCGUGGCACUUAAUAAGGAAUUCAGCCCCUCUAAAUUUCACUUAUAUCGAUGUAGAAAACGAAGAGUUAGCAUUCAUGCCUAUAAAUAAAGGGAACCAUUAACCAUUUUAAUGAAAAAUAUCUAAAGCAAAAUCAAAUAAUUGUAAUGGCAUCCAAACGUUAAACAGUCGACACUAGGAAAGGGGCUGCCUCCGAGGAGAACAUGCCGGAGAUGCUUGCACUAAGGGAGCAAGUGGAGAAAAUGCAGCAAGCGAUGCAUGCCCUGGUGGACAAGCUGAUGCCCAGGACAUUUGACCUGAAGGGAGAUAUCCUGGCCAACAACAAGAUUAUAGCCGAAAUUUAUGAAAUAGUAGAUGAACUUAGGAAGAAAUGAACUACGGUUCAUUUUUUUUUUGUAUCAUCUCCUUUUAAUAAAUAAAAUUUAAAUUUUCAUUUCUCAAAAUUUCCUCUAUUUUCUUCGUUUGUUAUAUUAUGCUGAAUAACUUCGUGAGUGGAUAUUAGACAUUGCGUGA
rnacentral:lncRNA from 1 species